UACGUAGGAGGCAAGCGUUGUCCGGAUUUACUGGGCGUAAAGAGCGUGUAGGCGGUUCGUACAGUCCGCUGUGAAAUCUCCAGGCUCAACCUGGAGUAGUCGGUGGAAACUAGCGAACUUGAGGACGGUAGAGGGGGGUGGAAUUCCCGGUGUAGUGGUGAAAUGCGUAGAGAUCGGGAGGAACACCAGCGGCGAAGGCGGCCCCCUGGGCCGCUCCUGACGCUGAGACGCGAAGGCCAGGGUAGCGAACGGG
rnacentral:rRNA from 1 species